rnacentral:rRNA from 1 species
CCUACGGGAGGCAGCAGUGAGGAAUAUUGGACAAUGGGCGCAAGCCUGAUCCAGCCAUGCCGCGUGCAGGAAGAAGCAUCUAUGGUGUGUAAACUGCUUUUGUACAGGAAGAAACACUCCCUCGUGAGGGAGCUUGACGGUACUGUAAGAAUAAGGACCGGCUAACUCCGUGCCAGCAGCCGCGGUAAUACGGAGGGUCCGAGCGUUAUCCGGAAUCAUUGGGUUUAAAGGGUCCGUAGGCGGUUUAAUAAGUCAGUGGUGAAAUCUGGUCGCUCAACGAUCAAACGGCCAUUGAUACUGUUAGACUUGAAUUAUAAGGAAGUAACUAGAAUAUGUAGUGUAGCGGUGAAAUGCUUAGAUAUUACAUGGAAUACCAAUUGCGAAGGCAGGUUACUACUUAUGGAUUGACGCUGAUGGACGAAAGCGUGGGGAGCGAACAGGAUUAGAUACCCUGGUAGUCCACGCCGUAAACGAUGGAUACUAGCUGUUCGGAGCAAUCUGAGUGGCUAAGCGAAAGUGAUAAGUAUCCCACCUGGGGAGUACGUUCGCAAGAAUUGAAACUUCAAAGGAAUUGACGG